AACCAGGAAGCCGGUGCGAAUCCGGCGCGGUCCCGCCACUGUGACCGGGGAGCGGACCCCAUCCGAGCCACGGCCCCCGCGGGCCGGAAGGCCGGGGCGAGCGCCGAUCCGGCAGCCAGGAGACUG
rnacentral:ncRNA from 1 species